CUUCUUGUCCUGAACCUGGCCCUGCCCCUUCUCGUCUCUCCGCGCUCGCGGCGGCGCGUUCCUUGGCCAGUUUCACAGUCCCCGGGAGCCAAUCGCAGCGAGCGUUUGGGGUGGACCUUGUGGAUCAGUGGCACCGGCAGGAAGGCGUACAUGAGUGCUCCCGACCAUGGGAUCAGGAAGGCGUCUCACAGGGAGCCCCUGUCCCUGCUAUGCAGAGAACAGAACAUGUGGCACUUCCUGUUCUGUCUGGACAUGAACAGGUCCACCUGGGGAGUCCCCACCUUCAGAAGACUAGGCUGUCCAUCUCCGAGUAGAACGACCAUUUCGUGGUGAGACAAGAAGGUCCUGCUGAGGCAAUCCACCAGGAUGUUCUUGGUACUGGGCAGGAGACCCAUAUCGUUGCAGGUGGAGCGCACCAGAUCGAGCCUCCUCUGGACCUCCUCCGAAGGCCUGCCCUUGAUGAGCCAUUAUCAAGAUAUGGGAAGAUCUGGACCCCUCGACACCUCAGUUAAGCCACCACCGACGCCAUGCAUUACGUGAACACCCUGGGGGCCGAGGACAGGUCAAAGGGCAGCGCCGU